rnacentral:rRNA from 1 species
GAUGAACGCUGGCGGCGUGCCUAAUACAUGCAAGUCGAGCGAACAGACGAGGAGCUUGCUCCUCUGACGUUAGCGGCGGACGGGUGAGUAACACGUGGAUAACCUACCUAUAAGACUGGGAUAACUUCGGGAAACCGGAGCUAAUACCGGAUAAUAUAUUGAACCGCAUGGUUCAAUAGUGAAAGACGGUUUUGCUGUCACUUGUAGAUGGAUCCGCGCCGCAUUAGCUAGUUGGUAAGGUAACGGCUUACCAAGGCAACGAUGCGUAGCCGACCUGAGAGGGUGAUCGGCCACACUGGAACUGAGACACGGUCCAGACUCCUACGGGAGGCAGCAGUAGGGAAUCUUCCGCAAUGGGCGAAAGCUUGACGGGGCAACGCCGCGUGAGUGAUGAAGGUCUUCGGAUCGUAAAACUCUGUUAUUAGGGAAGAACAAAUGUGUAAGUAACUAUGCACGUCUUGACGGUACCUAAUCAGAAAGCCACGGCUAACUACGUG